rnacentral:rRNA from 1 species
CAGUCGCCGCGGUAAUACGGAGGGGGCUAGCGUUGUUCGGAAUUACUGGGCGUAAAGCGCACGUAGGCGGCUUGGUAAGUUAGAGGUGAAAGCCUGGAGCUCAACUCCAGAAUUGCCUUUAAGACUGCCGAGCUAGCAGGUGAGAGAGGUAAGUGGAAUUCCGAGUGUAGAGGUGAAAUUCGUAGAUAUUCGGAAGAACACCAGUGGCGAAGGCGACACCUGGACUAAUACUGACACUGAGGUGCGAAAGCGUGGGGAGCAAACAGGAUUAGAUACCCCCGUAGUCCCUGUCUCUUAUACA